UUGAGCUGCAUCUGCUCUUACCCCAUCCAGAUGGGGAAGAGGUCAAGUGCUCCAGGUGGAACCCAGGUGCCCUGCCCUGAGAUAGAGUGAUUGGCAGGAUGGCCUCUGUGCCCAAGGAAGCAGAAGCAGCAGGCAGACACAUUGUUUUGUCCAACAGGUUCUUUUCUGAGCCACAGGCCAAGCAGCUGGAGGGUGGGUGAGUAUUUCAGGCAGGCAGUGCUCAGAAGUGGAUGGGUGAUGAGGCACUCAGCACAGUAGUCUGACUUUAUUAAAGCUCUGUGUAGGAUAUUAAUGAAUCUGCCACCUUCUUCUUGAAUUUGAGCCUGAGCCAUGGCCUUUGCAUGUUAUGACACAGUAAGGAAGAAGGCCCAGGACACUUUAACCUGAGCCUCAUGUUCUCUCCUUGCAGGGGAAGGCUUCC
rnacentral:lncRNA from 1 species